GGGAAAUGAGGAGUGGUACAGGCUCGCUUAAUCAUGCGAGAGGGGUGCCCGCCCCAAUAAGCCUGUUACGACACUGGGGCAUCCCCGUGAUUCACCAUCUGAUCCC
rfam:Triticum aestivum genome assembly, contig: Triticum_aestivum_CS42_TGACv1_scaffold_000720_1AL